GACGAACGCUGGCGGCGUGCCUAAUACAUGCAAGUAGAACGCUGAAGGAGGAGCUUGCUUCUCUGGAUGAGUUGCGAACGGGUGAGUAACGCGUAGGUAACCUGCCUGGUAGCGGGGGAUAACUAUUGGAAACGAUAGCUAAUACCGCAUAACAGUAGAUAUCGCAUGAUAUCUACUUGAAAGGUGCAAUUGCAUCACUACCAGAUGGACCUGCGUUGUAUUAGCUAGUUGGUGAGGUAACGGCUCACCAAGGCGACGAUACAUAGCCGACCUGAGAGGGUGAUCGGCCACACUGGGACUGAGACACGGCCCAGACUCCUACGGGAGGCAGCAGUAGGGAAUCUUCGGCAAUGGACGGAAGUCUGACCGAGCAACGCCGCGUGAGUGAAGAAGGUUUUCGGAUCGUAAAGCUCUGUUGUAAGAGAAGAACGAGUGUGAGAGUGGAAAGUUCACACUGUGACGGUAUCUGACCAGAAAGGGACGGCUAACUACGUG
rnacentral:rRNA from 1 species